UACGUAGGGGGCGAGCGUUGUCCGGAUUCAUUGGGCGUAAAGCGCGCGCAGGCGGCUUCGUAAGUCGGCCGUGAAAUCUCCAGGCUCAACUUGGAGGGGUCGGGCGAGACUGCGGAGCUCGAGGCAGGCAGAGGGCGGUGGAAUUCCGGGUGUAGUGGUGGAAUGCGUAGAGAUCCGGAGGAACACCAGUGGCGAAGGCGGCCGCCUGGGCCUGACCUGACGCUGAGGCGCGAAAGCGUGGGGAGCGAUCCGG
rnacentral:rRNA from 1 species